UGCCAUUGACUGAAAUAGAAAAAAAAUGAAAAACAUAUUACAUUAUUUCAAUACGAGGAUAAUUACGUGAACAGAUUGAUCCGUUAUAAAUAAAUUUAAAUAAAAAAGACUGUAGGGGUUAAUAUUCACUCGAGUACAACAAAGCAAAGUUUCCUGUUCAAUUUCGUAUGUUCUAUUUAUUAUUUACUUAUUGCA